rnacentral:lncRNA from 1 species
CCCCGAAGCGUGUAAGGCUCAUAGCAGGGAACGAGAGAAGCAGUGAAUGAGUCUAGUUCCCCCCCCGCUUCGGGAACGGCACUUAGAGGGAGAGCAGGUACAAAUUUGCAGUAUCUUCCAGAUGGGUACAUGCCUAUGGACCUGUCUGCCUGUGGUUCCGCUGACACUGGGAUUCAAGCACUUAGUUCCUAGACUCACACAGAGGACGUGCGCAGACUUCACUGGAUUUCUGUCUUUUUUGGAAGCUGUGACAGUAUAUAUCUUGGUACAGGGAAUCGCCUUGUCUCCUGCCCUUAUUUAG